UCAAGGUAAACCCUCUCUUAUAUCUUGCCUGGGUUGAUAAGUUGCUAGUUUUAAAUGUAUAUCAAUUAAUUUUAGUCAAAAAAUGCAGAAAAGAAGUGCACAAAACAGUAAGAAUCGAAGAUCCGAGAACUAGAUCAAACACACCACAGGGAACUUAUCUUUUCCCGAGUCUGAGUAUAUAUUGACCGAGAAGAAUGGUGGGGUGACGCCUCCCGCUGAUGUAAUAUGGCUUGCUCAACACACAACAACAUAUGGUGAAGGAGUUUUGCAGUGGGUUAAUGAUGAUCGCUCUAAGGAUAUACAUGUACAACUUCAUCAACUUGUGCAAGACAAGGAUAAAGAACCUGAAGGAGACCAAGCACGUCCUCAGAUACAAGAUGAAAUGUUGCUUCAUGUACUUGGUCCUAAGCCUGGGUACACACGAGGCAAAGGCAACGGAUAUGGAGGUUCAGCUAAAGCGAGGCUACAAGAAGAACAACAACAAAUAAUGAUUAAGCAACAAGAGCAGAUAACUCAUUUACAGAGUGAGCUAGAGGCAAAUAAGAAAGACACGGAUGCCUAUAAAGAAGAGCAAAAACGCACUAUGGAAAAUAUGGAGAGGCGAUUCAUGCAAAUGUUAAGCAACAUGAACAUGUAUAUGCUUAAUGAAAGUGUUUAAAGACCAUUUUCUAUAAUUUUGACACCUACCAGAAAGUAGAAUAAAUAAGUGAAGUUUGUCUUAGGGAAUCGGGGUUAUAUAUAAAACAUUGGCUAUAUCAGCAAUAUAAUCAAGUCAUGGAGUGAAUCUUACCCAAAUAAUGCGGUUAAGGGACUUAAGAUUGUCUGAAGUACUUUUAUCAGUUAAGAAUAUAGUUAUCAAACUUCUUCAUCUGAUCAGUUGGGUUUAGAUAUGGUCUUAUGGACAUUGUUUCUUAAGAUAAGGACACUCUUUAACUUUCAAGGGCAAUCCAAUUCAUCUCAUAUUGCUGCUUGUAUUCUAUAAGUAUAUUCUUCUACUUAGCUACCCUGUGGAAUUUACUUACUGUAUAGUAGAGCUAA